AGAGUUUGAUCCUGGCUCAGGAUGAACGCUGGCGGCGUGCUUAACACAUGCAAGUCGAGCGGAAAUAUUUUAAAUGAAGGCUUCGGUUGGAAUUUAUAAUACUUUAGCGGCGGACGGGUGAGUAACGUGUGGGCAACCUGCCUCAUACAGAGGAAUAAUCAUGUGAAAACGUGACUAAUACCUCAUGUCAAUUUCUGAAGGCAUCUUCGGGAAAGAAAAGGAGCAAUCCGGUAUGAGAUGGGCCCGCAUCUGAUUAGCUAGUUGGUGAGAUAACAGCCCACCAAGGCAACGAUCAGUAGCCGACCUGAGAGGGUGAUCGGCCACAUUGGGACUGAGACACGGCCCAAACUCCUACGGGAGGCAGCAGUGGGGAAUAUUGCACAAUGGGGGAAACCCUGACCCAGCAACGCCGCGUGAAGGAAGAAGGCUUUCGGGUUGUAAACUUCUUUUAUGUGGGACGAAGAAGUGACGGUACCACAUGAAUAAGCCACGGCUAACUACAUGCCAGCAGCCGCGGUAAUACGUAGGUGGCAAGCGUUGUCCGGAAUUAUUGGGCGUAAAGCGCGCGCAGGCGGAUCUGCCAGUCUGUCUUAAAAGUUCGGGGCUUAACCCCGUGAUGGGAUGGAAACUACAGAUCUAGAGUAUCGGAGAGGAAAGUGGAAUUCCUAGUGUAGCGGUGAAAUGCGUAGAUAUUAGGAAGAACACCAGUGGCGAAGGCGACUUUCUGGACGAAAACUGACGCUGAGGCGCGAAAGCCAGGGGAGCGAACGGGAUUAGAUACCCCGGUAGUCCUGGCCGUAAACGAUGGGUACUAGGUGUAGGAGGUAUCGACCCCUUCUGUGCCGCAGUUAACGCAAUAAGUACCCCGCCUGGGGAGUACGACCGCAAGGUUGAAACCAAAGGAAUUGACGG
rnacentral:rRNA from 1 species